GAAAAAGUCAGUUUCUAGAAUCCAUCUGAAGUUUUAACCGGCGGCUUACAAGGGAAGAGAGUUUUUCCGUUUUGAACAACGUGCGCAGUUCCUGUCGGUCAAUCCAAGAGCUUACUUACCUGGACCCGAACCUCGGGUAGGUUAACCUUGCCGGCCAGCUCUUCGCGGCUGUACACGUCGGGGUAGUGGGACUUCUCGAAGGCGCGCUCCAGCUCGUGCAGUUGGUAAGUGGUGAACGUCGUGCGGUUGCGUCGAUGCUUCUUCUUGGGAGGUUCCUCCUCCGACAGCUUCGAGUCGCCUGCUGCUGGCCCAACCGAGAGUCCUGGGCUCGGACGUGCUUCUCCUUGCUCCUUGGGGUAGCAGGGCCUAGUAGCUGGGGGCAGCGAAGCUCCAAGCCGUCAGUGACACUCUUGGCGGAGGCGAAGCGACCUCUCUACGGCCCUAGGCGACCCGGUGCCGCCUGAGCUGGUCUAAGGAGGUCCGCGAUGGGGACCUAUGUGGGGUCACUAGAAUUUCUCUAACCUCAAGUCGGGCAAACCCCAAACCAACGACCUAAAGGUAAAGGAGGAGAAGCUCCGGUCUUGCAGAGCACCCCAGGGACUUUGCAGCCUUGCUGAGCACUCACCUUCGUACUCCGGGACGAAUCCCGGGGCUGCUGGUGGGGAAGACUCGGAGCCUCCGGCUGGCGCCUUGGGGCAGGCAGGCUGCGCGCCCAGCCUGGGAUCCCGCUCUUUCGAGCUCCUGGAGCUCCUCUCUGCAGGAAAGGUGUCUAGGAUGCCGUCUUCCUUGGUAAAGCCCAGGAUGGCUUCGAUGCUGUGCAAACGCGACGUGCUCCCGCCCGGGCUGCGGAGCAGGUGGCCAGCGAGCGAGAAGCUCCCGUCCGCCAUGGCUGGCGCGCAGCCCGGCAGGUGCAUGGAGAGGAGGGAGUGCACUUUGCAAACUGGAGCUCGAUGCCCGGUUCCCUUCUCCUCCUCCACCCCCUCAAGUGUGCACUUCUAGAACGUGAGCAAAUGGAUGGGUCGGUCCAAAGCUAAACUCGGUGGAUCGGUCUGUCCAAAGCUAAACUCGGCGGGCAACCGGCUUGGGCAACGGCUCAGGAGGUGGGCAAGCGCUGGGCCAGCGAUUAACGGACCCGCUGCUGGAGCUGCAAGUUUAGCCUCAGGGUAACUGGAGCUUUGGUGCUAAAGGCCCGCAGCGCUCUAGUCUGGGACUCCACCCUCUCUCCAGGCCCAGCCCUUUCCCUCUGUCCCUCCCCCUAUAGAGGGCCGGUCUUUCCCCUCUCAGCCUAGGGUCCUGCUCCCUGUCACCCAGGCCUGCUCCCUGAAAGCCCCUUCAUCUGAUCUAUUUCAACUCCACAUUUUCCAGGUACCAGGAGUGGGAGGUUUGACAGGAGGAGGCACCUCUCCACCCCAGUCCGAACCUCCCUGGGAGAGACCUCCCAGGGUUCACUUCACCCCUUUCUGUGUUCACCUGCCCCUCUCUUGCCUACCAUCUCCCAAAGCUUUACACUCCGGACCAUCUUCAGGCACUUGGAAGCUCCAAGAUCGGCUGUAGACUUUGCGGAUAACCCUGGGCGAUUGUUCACAGGCCUUCCUGUUUGAAUCUUCCCUUAAUCUUCCCCUCAUUUCUACACCUACGCUUCUGUGCUUUGCCGUCCUAGACUUCAGGCUUCCUUUGUCUGUGUCCGUUUUUACUUCUCUCUGUACCCUCAGAAAUGGUGGUGAGACAGUCUGUACCCACAGACCGAAUGACCUCAAAUGUGAGAGUUCCCAGGACUCGGAGAAGACACGCGAUAUUUCCUCUCAUGAACUAUAUCUUUAAGGGUCAGGAUCCUUAACCAAAUUACAGAGAUGAACAACUCUGGCCGCUUCUCACUUCCACAGGCCAUGCAGACGACCCAAAACUGGUGGGUGAAGACCUUCUCCAGAGGAGAAGGUCCUAGCGCAUCCCUGAGAGUUAGCGCCUUAAUCCGCUUGAGUUUCUUCCCCCUUGGGGGCCCCUUGGGGCUUGCUUGACCCAGAGUGACUCAAAGGCUCAGCAGAAAGAAGACCCAUAGCAGCCUCAUCGCGCUUAGCAACUGUGAGCACUGCACCCCUCAAAGCCGAUGGUUAGAGUCCAGAGUCUGGAUGAUGCCCAGCCUCACUGAAGUGUUAGUCUGAGAAGGCUAUUGCAGACGCCCCCUGAGGAGCUGGGGUUCUGCGUUCCCCAAUUCCGCCUUUCUCAGAUCUCCACCAAGACAGACUUCUUUGUCAUUAAUUUUUGUUGUUGUUGUUCCUUUUACAGGGCCAACACUAUCCUGAACGAGGUCACACAAGUCACACAGAACCCACGUAGUGGCUUUGAGGAGUUGAUGUGCCAGGCUGUGAGGAAUGACAAAUGAAUAUAUAAUGAGGAUUAGUUGACAGUGGGUUGAAACUGAAGUCUGGCUUAGCUCGAGAAGUUUGUGUUUGAAGAAGAACCUGUUAGGGUUGAAGGUGCCAUUCAGGGUGAAGCACUUGCCUAGAAACGUUUAACCCCCAGCACCUGUUAAAAUAAACUGCAAUAC
ensembl:lincRNA Raxos1 retina and anterior neural fold homeobox, opposite strand 1